rnacentral:SRP_RNA from 1 species
GCUGGGCAUGGUGGCGCGUGCCUGUAAUCCCAGCUACUCAGGAGGCUGAGGCAGGAGAAUUGCCUGAACCCAGGAGGCGGAGGUUGCGGUGAGCCGAGAUUGCGCCAUUGCACUCCAGUUUGGGUAACAAGAGCGAAACUCCAUCUCAAAAAAAAAAAAAAAAAGAAACAGAGUUUUACUCUGUCUCCAGGCUGGAGUGCAGUGGCGUGAUCUUGGCUCACCGCAACCUCCGCCUCUCGGAGUCAAGCGAUUCUCCUGCCUCAG